rnacentral:lncRNA from 1 species
CCAAAAAAACCCACCCCUUGCAACGAAAAGCAUAUUUUCAUGCGCCAGCUUUGGAUUUAAAAAAAAAAAAAAAAGGGAGAAAAAAUGGUAACCGACUUGCUGUAAGGUAAUGGAGAUGGGCGCGACUGCGCAUGCAAACACACGAGACAUAUGGAGGCCUUUUGCUUUUUGGUAAAUAGAAAUGCUUUGCAAAUCGCCUUUAUCUUUUUCCUUGUAAAUUGUAAUUGGGGUUGUCAGAGGUCAGAGAAUGUUCUUAGAAUGUUAGUGCCCUGAUGAGAAUGGGAGUGGUAUGUAUCCAUGCAAAACCCAAAUCCCAUCCUGGUUAUCAUUGUGUAGUUACUUUUUUGGUACCAAAUCAAC